GAUGAACGCUAGCGGCAGGCUUAACACAUGCAAGUCGAGGGGUAACAUUGGUGCUUGCAUCAGAUGACGACCGGCGCACGGGUGCGUAACGCGUAUAGAACCUACCUUUUACAGAGGAAUAGCCCAGAGAAAUUUGGAUUAAUACCUCAUAAUAUUUUUAACUCGCAUGAGUUUUAAAUUAAAACUUCGGUGGUAAAAGAUGGGCAUGCGUUCUAUUAGUUUGUUGGUGAGGUAACGGCUUACCAAGACUACGAUAGAUAGGGGUUCUGAGAGGAUAGUCCCCCACACUGGUACUGAGACACGGACCAG
rnacentral:rRNA from 1 species